rnacentral:rRNA from 1 species
GACGAACGCUGGCGGCGUGCUUAAUACAUGCAAGUCGAACGGAAAGACCCUGCUUUUGUGUGGUGCUCGAUUGGCGAACGGGUGAGUAACACGUGAGUAACCUGCCCUUGACUGUGGGAUAACUUCAGGAAAAUGGGGCUAAUACCGGAUAGGAGCUCUUGCUGCAUGGUGGGCGUUGGAAAGUUUCGGUGGUUGUGGAUGGACUCGCUGCUUAUCAGCUUGUUGGUGGGGUAGUGGCUUACCAAGGCUUUGACGGGUAGCCGGCAUGAGAGGGUGACCGGCGACCAUGGGACUGCGGUACGGCCCAGACUCCUACGGGAGGCAGCAGUGGGGAAUAUUGCAGAAUGAGCGGACGCCUGAUGCAGCAACGCCGCGUGCGGGAUGACGGCCUUCGAGUUGUAAACCGCUUUCGCCUGUGACGAAGCGUGAGUGACGGUAAUGGGUAAAGAAGCACCGGCUAACUACGUG